rnacentral:rRNA from 1 species
AGUGAACGCUGGCGGCGUGCCUAAUACAUGCAAGUCGAACGAAGUGGCGCACGGGUGAGUAAUAUAUAUUUAAUCUGCCCUCCACAAAGGACCAACAGUUGGAAACGACUGCUAAUACCUCAUAGUGUAGUAUGAGACUAUAUCGUAUCAGCUAGUUGGUAAGGGAAUGGCUUACCAAGGCUAUGACGCUUAACUGGUCUGAGAGGAUGAUCAGUCACAUUGGAACGGAGACACGGUGCAAGAACCUACGGGAGUCAGCAGUAAGGAAUAUUGCGCAAUGGGGGAAAACCUGACGAAGCAACGCCGCGUGGAGGAUGACACUUUUCGGAGCGUAAACUCCUUUUAUCAGGAAAGCGGUACCUGAUGAAUAAGCACCGGCUAACUCCGUGCCAGCAGCCGCGGUAAUAC